UUGAACCUACCUUGUGUCUUUACAUAUCCACUGUACGUAGUACGUACAAACGAGAGUCCUUUCCACGCUGGUGUCUGUGCAACCCCAGUGUACUCUGUUUCUGUGUGGGUGAACCGUUUACGAUUCAAUUGCUCGCCAUGAAUGAAUGAAUGACAGAGCGUAGUAACGUAAAACUAAAGAGAACACGCUCCGCCCCGGCGAGAGAGUCCUUGCCAGGUGACAAUCACAGCAUGGAGAACAUCAACUGCCGUGGCCACGCCUCCUGCCGCGCCGUGGUAUGUACAACAUGAAUGUCACAUGUUUUAUUUUAUAUGCACGCGUCAAAGUUGCAACUUUGAGUAGUCAAAAAAGAAGAAGUUGGGAGCAGUAUCUUAUCACGGGCUGCCGAGGUUGGCUGACUGGUCGGAUCGGAUGCUGCGGUUGGCUUGAACAGCAGCUCGUCGGAGUGUGCCAUAAGGACUUUGGCAUCAUCCUUUCGGUCGGUCGUUGGUGGUGGAAUGGGAAAAGUGACAUCGGUGUUGCGGUGGGUCGGAUGGGAGAGGAAACACGGAAAAUGACUGACUGGUGUUGGAUUUUGUGUAGAUGCGCCCAGUCAGCGGCAAAGCGAUGACGCGGGAUGUGAGCAUGAACAUAAGGAUUCGAGAGCAAGGAUACAGCUCUGACUGCAGAGGGGGAGAAUGCUCGGUUCGCUCUGGCAAAUGAAAAAGUCGACAUGAUGAGGUGAAAAGCGGUUUUUGGGUGGUGUGGUGUUGUUGGCUAGAGCCGGUUGAGGGUGGGAAGAGAGCCUGGCGUUCCGGUUGAAGUGAGUCGCUGGCUGAUGCCAGUGGUAACUGUAGCAAAUGUGAAUUGUGAUGAAGUCAAUACAGCAUCAGUCGGUAAUCAGCUUCUACCGUUUCUGGCUGUGCCAUUGCGGGAAAUCUGAACAACCGGAGUCAGUUGAUCAGGAACAAUCGAGCAAGUGACACCAAUCGGUUCUACCUUCCAGUAGUGUGGCAAAACGUAUCGGAACGGUUGCGUCGGGAUAUUAGUGUCGUUUGUGAAGUUCAUCAUCCUUUAGAGAAGAUAUAUGUUUUGUGGUCUUAUACAAAUCGGGAAUAUUCUUUGGGAUUUCGAAAGUGAUCUGGUAGUUGGUUAGUCAACAUAAUUCCAAAAGUGACAAAGUGAAUUUAUAUUUGUUCAAGAGUUGAUGACAAAUCGUCAAUAGAAAUUUUCCAAGUUGGAUUUCAAAUUCGUUUGGCAACCACGAAGAAUGGGAACAGGUGACAGAUUACUUGACAUCCCAUGCAAAGUAUGCGGUGAUCGUAGCUCAGGAAAGCAUUAUGGCAUCUACAGUUGUGACGGCUGCUCGGGAUUCUUCAAACGCAGCAUCCACCGAAAUCGAGUUUACACUUGUAAGGCGGCUGGUGAACUGAAGGGUCGCUGUCCGGUGGACAAAACCCAUCGCAAUCAGUGUCGGGCCUGUCGGUUAUCCAAGUGCUUCCAGUCCGCAAUGAA